rnacentral:rRNA from 1 species
AGAGUUUGAUCCUGGCUCAGGAUGAACGCUAGCGGCAGGCCUAACACAUGCAAGUCGAGGGGUAACAGAGAGUGCUUGCACUUUGCUGACGACCGGCGCACGGGUGCGUAACGCGUAUGCAACCUACCUUUUACAGGAGGAUAGUCAAUAGAAAUGUUGAAUAAUACUCCAUACGAUCUUUGAGUGGCAUUACUUAAAGAAGAAAGCUUUUGCGGUAAAAGAUGGGCAUGCGUCCUAUUAGUUAGUUGGUGAGGUAACGGCUCACCAAGACAUCGAUAGGUAGGGGCCCUGAGAGGGGGAUCCCCCACACUGGUACUGAGACACGGACCAGACUCCCACGGGAGGCAGCAGUGAGGAAUAUUGGACAAUGGAGGCAACUCUGAUCCAGCUAUGCCGCGUGCAGGAAGACUGCCCUAUGGGUUGUAAACUGC